CUACAGGCUUAACACAUUGCAAGUCGAGGGGCAGCAUGGUCUUAGCUUGCUAAGGCCGAUGGCGACCGGCGCACGGGUGAGUAACACGUAUCCAACCUGCCGUCUACUCUUGGACAGCCUUCCGAAAGGAAGAUUAAUACAAGAUGGCAUCAUGAGUCCGCAUGUUCACAUGAUUAAAGGUAUUCCGGUAGACGAUGGGGAUGCGUUCCAUUAGAUAGUAGGCGGGGUAACGGCCCACCUAGUCUUCGAUGGAUAGGGGUUCUGAGAGGAAGGUCCCCCACAUUGGAACUGAGACACGGUCCAAACUCCUACGGGAGGCAGCAGUGAGGAAUAUUGGUCAAUGGGCGAGAGCCUGAACCAGCCAAGUAGCGUGAAGGAUGACUGCCCUAUGGGUUGUAAACUUCUUUUAUAAAGGAAUAAAGUCGGGUAUGGAUACCCGUUUGCAUGUACUUUAUGAAUAAGGAUCGGCUAACUCCGUGCCAGCAGCCGCGGUAAUACGGAGGAUCCGAGCGUUAUCCGGAUUUAUUGGGUUUAAAGGGAGCGUAGAUGGAUGUUUAAGUCAGUUGUGAAAGUUUGCGGCUCAACCGUAAAAUUGCAGUUGAUACUGGAUAUCUUGAGUGCAGUUGAGGCAGGCGGAAUUCGUGGUGUAGCGGUGAAAUGCUUAGAUAUCACGAAGAA
rnacentral:rRNA from 1 species